AUUGGCGUGAUCUCAAGAAGAAUAGCCGCGAGGAAACAAUAUUAGACUGCGUAAAGACAAAGUUUGUGUAUCCUAGAUCAUGUGAAAAAUGGAUACUCAAAACAAUUGGAAGAGACUAGAGGAAAUUUAAAUCUUGUUUGAAAAAAGCUAUCUACAACCCAGCCAUGAAAAAAAUUCAGACAUCAAGAGGAAGGCUUUGUAUAAGCUAUGUCCAGAUGAUGUGGACAGUGACCAGUGGCGUGGACUUAUCAAAUUUUGGAAGUCCAAAAAAGGAAGGGCCCUAGCUGAGAAGAAUGUAAUUAGUCGUUCCCUUGUGAAGAAUACACAUAAUGCUGGGACAAAGAGUUAUGCUCAUUGGGGUGAAGACAUAAGACAAGCUGAUCCUGAGAAGAAACGACCACACCGAUCAAUAAUUUACUUAGCAACUCACAAAAAUAAAGAUGCUCCUGAAAAUAAAGAGAAAAAUGA